CAUGUCUAAGGUAAUCGAUUACACUUGUUGGCAGUAGCCAAAAUGCUGCAUUCUUAAGCAGUAAUGUAGUAUCCUUUGCACUGCAAACCAAUCACAAUGCUUGCAUCAAUACACAUUGAAAUAUUUAUAUGAUUAUGCAGCAACCAACCAUAUCAUUCAUGUAUUGGACCAAGCUCUUAACACUUCAAUUCACCAAACUUCUCAACAUUUGUUAAUUACUCAUAACA
rnacentral:lncRNA from 1 species